CCUCCCUCUCAGAGGUGAAAAUGGAUACGAGUGAGGGAGGCAUGACUGAUAUUACAGGAUGGUGAAAAAUGAUGCGUAAUUACACCCCCCUUGAGAGGCUGACAAGUGACCUAACAAGUUUCCCAGUGCAGCUCUCGUGUGUCCCCAGCUACAGCCAAACCUGCCUGUGCCGACCGCUGUGAGCGAGUGGCCUGCUGCACAGCCGUGUUUAUCCGAGGGUGGGGGCGGGCCGAUCAACAGAGAGAGCGAUAGGGCACUGCUGACCAUGAGCUCCCAGUGCCACGGCGGGUGUAUGUGUGUGUGUGUGGGGGUAGUCUGUUGUUGCCGCGCCACCAUCGGGGGAUCAGCGUCAUGGUUCAGAGGGAAGAGCACCUCCAGCCCAGCGCCCCCAUCACGACCUCUUAAACACCACUUUUCUGGGGUUGUGAUGGCUCACCGUGGGGGCCUGCUAGGAGCCAGGAGGGGGAGGAGAAGCUUAAUUUAGCAGAAACACACGCGCGCCUGCAACACACAGGCCAGAUCAGACCCGCGACCGCAAAAUGGUUCUAAUAUAUUCCCAGUGCUACUUGUGAAUAUUAAUAAAAAAAUUAAUAAUUAAUUUUUGCCCAGGGCAUGAAAAGAUAUACUAGUUUUAAUUAGUGUACUGUACUCUUAUGCAAUUAAAAAAUAAUUGAUGUC